GGAGCCCAUUUGCCUGGUCCACGGUGGACCGAAUGGUGCACAGAGGAGGACGUGGACCGCAUGGGCAUUUUCCAUGCAUUUCUCACAGUCCACAGUACUGUUUCAUGGACCAACACACGAUCGGAGGGCGUGGGUAGUUUUCGAUCAUGAUCCAACGGUCCAGGUCCUUAUAUGGGCAUGAUUAGGAGUUCUAACCAUGAUCUAAUUGGUGUUUUAACCCUUUAAAAGGGCCUGAUCAUGUAAUAGAGGGGGUGGUGGCUCAUUUUUCAUGAGGUCAUGCGGUAACCCAGAGAACAGAAUCCCG
rnacentral:lncRNA from 1 species